AGGACGAACGCUGGCGGCGUGCCUAAUACAUGCAAGUCGAGCGGACCGACGGGAGCUUGCUCCCUUAGGUCAGCGGCGGACGGGUGAGUAACACGUGGGUAACCUGCCUGUAAGACUGGGAUAACUCCGGGAAACCGGGGCUAAUACCGGAUGAUUGAUUGAACCGCAUGGUUCAAUUAUAAAAGGUGGCUUCGGCUACCACUUACAGAUGGACCCGCGGCGCAUUAGUUAGUUGGUGAGGUAACGGCUCACCAAGGCGACGAUGCGUAGCCGACCUGAGAGGGUGAUCGGCCACACUGGGACUGAGACACGGCCCAGACUCCUACGGGAGGCAGCAGUAGGGAAUCUUCCGCAAUGGACGAAAGUCUGACGGAGCAACGCCGCGUGAGUGAUGAAGGUUUCGGAUCGUAAAACUCUGUUGUUAGGGAAGAACAAGUACCGUUCGAAUAGGGCGGUACCUUGACGGUACCUAACCAGAAAGCCACGGCUAACUACGUGCCAGCAGCCGC
rnacentral:rRNA from 1 species